GCGGCCGUGGUCCAGCCUGGUUAAGAUGUCUGCCUGCCACGCAGAAGACCCGGGUUCGAAUCCCGGCGGCCGCACCA
rnacentral:tRNA from 1 species